rnacentral:rRNA from 1 species
UACGGAGGGUGCAAACGUUGCUCGGAAUCAUUGGGCGUAAAGCGCACGUAGGCGGUCCGACAAGUCGGAUGUGAAAGCCCUCGGCUCAACCGGGGAAGUGCAUUCGAAACUGUCGAACUCGAGUAUGGAAGAGGGUCUCGGAAUUCCCGGUGUAGAGGUGAAAUUCGUAGAUAUCGGGAGGAACACCAGUGGCGAAGGCGGAGACCUGGGCCAAUACUGACGCUGAGGUGCGAAAGCGUGGGGAGCAAACAGG